rnacentral:snRNA from 1 species
GUGCUCAUUUCAGCAGCACAUAUACCAAAAUUGGAAUGACACAGAUUACCUUGGCCCCGCGGCAAGGAUAACACACAAAAAUGCAUCAAGUGUUCCAUACUUUU